ACGAACGCUGGCGGCGUGCUUAACACAUGCAAGUCGCACGGAAAGGCCCUGCUUUUGUGGGGUGCUCGAGUGGCGAACGGGUGAGUAACACGUGAGUAACCUGCCCUUGACUUUGGGAUAACUUCAGGAAACUGGGGCUAAUACCGGAUAGGAGCUCCUGCUGCAUGGUGGGGGUUGGAAAGUUUCGGCGGUUGGGGAUGGACUCGCGGCUUAUCAGCUUGUUGGUGGGGUAGUGGCUUACCAAGGCUUUGACGGGUAGCCGGCCUGAGAGGGUGACCGGCCACAUUGGGACUGAGAUACGGCCCAGACUCCUACGGGAGGCAGCAGUGGGGAAUAUUGCACAAUGGGCGGAAGCCUGAUGCAGCAACGCCGCGUGCGGGAUGACGGCCUUCGGGUUGUAAACCGCUUUCGCCUGUGACGAAGCGUGAGUGACGGUAAUGGGUAAAGAAACACCGGCUAACUACGU
rnacentral:rRNA from 1 species